AUUGAACGCUGGCGGCAGGCCUAACACAUGCAAGUCGAACGGUAACAGGAAACAGCUUGCUGUUUCGCUGACGAGUGGCGGACGGGUGAGUAAUGUCUGGGAAACUGCCUGAUGGAGGGGGAUAACUACUGGAAACGGUAGCUAAUACCGCAUAACGUCGCAAGACCAAAGAGGGGGACCCUCGGGCCUCUUGCCAUCGGAUGUGCCCAGAUGGGAUUAGCUUGUUGGUGGGGUAACGGCUCACCAAGGCGACGAUCCCUAGCUGGUCUGAGAGGAUGACCAGCCACACUGGAACUGAGACACGGUCCAGACUCCGACGGGAGGCAGCAGUGGGGAAUAUUGCACAAUGGGCGCAAGCCUGAUGCAGCCAUGCCGCGUGUAUGAAGAAGGCCUUCGGGUUGUAAAGUACUUUCAGCGGGGAGGAAGGGAGUAAGGUUAAUACCUGUGCUCAUUGACGUUACCCGCAGAAGAAGCACCGGCUAACUCCGUG
rnacentral:rRNA from 1 species